GCCUCUGUAGCCCAAUCGGUAGAGGCAGCAGACUUAAAAUCUGUCAAGUGUGGGUUCGAGUCCCACCAGAGGCA
rnacentral:tRNA from 1 species